rnacentral:rRNA from 1 species
UACGUAGGGUGCGAGCGUUGUCCGGAAUUAUUGGGCGUAAAGCGCGCGUAGGCGGACCUGCAAGUCGGGGGUGAAAGCCCGAGGCUCAACCUCGGAACUGCCUUCGAUACUGCGGGUCUCGAGUCCGGGAGAGGUGAGUGGAAUUCCUAGUGUAGAGGUGAAAUUCGUAGAUAUUAGGAAGAACACCAGUGGCGAAGGCGGCUCACUGGUCCGGUACUGACGCUGAGGUGCGAAAGCGUGGGGAGCAAACAGG